CCUUAGAGUUUGAUCCUGGCUCAGGAUGAUUGCUGGCGGCAUGCCUAACACAUGCAAGUCGAACGGACGAGGGGAGCUUGCUCCCCGAGUUAGUGGCGGACGGGUGAGUAAUGCGUGAGCAACCUGCCUAUCAGAGGGGGACAACAGUUGGAAACGACUGCUAAUACCGCAUAACGUGCAUUGGGGGCAUCCCCGAUGUACCAAAGGAGCAAUCCGCUGAUAGAUGGGCUCACGUCUGAUUAGUUAGUUGGUGGGGUAACGGCCUACCAAGACUGCGAUCAGUAGCCGGACUGAGAGGUUGAACGGCCACAUUGGGACUGAGAUACGGCCCAGACUCCUACGGGAGGCAGCAGUGGGGAAUAUUGGGCAAUGGGCGAAAGCCUGACCCAGCAACGCCGCGUGAAGGAAGAAGGUCUUCGGAUUGUAAACUUCUUUUAUGAGGGACGAAGGAAGUGACGGUACCUCAUGAAUAAGCCACGGCUAACUACGUGCCAGCAGCCGCGGUAAUACGUAGGUGGCAAGCGUUAUCCGGAUUUACUGGGUGUAAAGGGCGCGUAGGCGGGGUGGCAAGUCAGAUGUGAAAUCUAUGGGCUCAACUCAUAAACUGCAUUUGAAACUGUCACUCUUGAGUGCUGGAGAGGUAGACGGAAUUCCUUGUGUAGCGGUGAAAUGCGUAGAUAUAAGGAAGAACACCAGUGGCGAAGGCGGUCUACUGGACAGUAACUGACGCUGAGGCGCGAAAGCGUGGGGAGCAAACAGGAUUAGAUACCCUGGUAGUCCACGCUGUAAACGAUGAAUACUAGGUGUGGGAGGACUGACCCCUUCCGUGCCGCAGUUAACACAAUAAGUAUUCCACCUGGGGAGUACGGCCGCAAGGUUGAAACUCAAAGGAAUUGACGGGGGCCCGCACAAGCAGUGGAUUAUGUGGUUUAAUUCGAAGCAACGCGAAGAACCUUACCAGGUCUUGACAUCGAGGAAAAGCUACAGAGAUGUAGUGUGAGCUUGCUCAUCCGAAGACAGGUGGUGCAUGGUUGUCGUCAGCUCGUGUCGUGAGAUGUUGGGUUAAGUCCCGCAACGAGCGCAACCCUUAUGGUCAGUUACUAACGCGUAGCGGCGAGGACUCUGACAAGACUGCCGGGGACAACUCGGAGGAAGGUGGGGACGACGUCAAAUCAUCAUGCCCCUUAUGACCUGGGCUACAAACGUGCUACAAUGGUGGUUACAAAGAGCAGCGAGCCUGUGAAGGUAAGCGAAUCUCAAAAAAGCCAUCUCAGUUCGGACUGUGGGCUGCAACCCGCCCACACGAAGUUGGAGUUGCUAGUAAUCGCGGAUCAGAAUGCCGCGGUGAAUACGUUCCCGGGCCUUGUACUCACCGCCCGUCA
rnacentral:rRNA from 1 species